rnacentral:rRNA from 3 species
UUUCAGAGAUGAGAAUGUGCCUUCGGGAACCGUGAGACAGGUGCUGCAUGGCUGUCGUCAGCUCGUGUUGUGAAAUGUUGGGUUAAGUCCCGCAACGAGCGCAACCCUUAUCCUUUGUUGCCAGCGGUCCGGCCGGGAACUCAAAGGAGACUGCCAGUGAUAAACUGGAGGAAGGUGGGGAUGACGUCAAGUCAUCAUGGCCCUUACGACCAGGGCUACACACGUGCUACAAUGGCGCAUACAAAGAGAAGCGACCUCGCGAGAGCAAGCGGACCUCAUAAAGUGCGUCGUAGUCCGGAUUGGAGUCUGCAACUCGACUCCAUGAAGUCGGAAUCGCUAGUAAUCGUGGAUCAGAAUGCCACGGUGAAUACGUUCCCGGGCCUUGUACACACCGCCCGUCACACCAUGGGAGUGGGUUGCAAAAGAAGUAGGUAGCUUAACCUUCGGGAGGGCGCUUACCACUUUGUGAUUCAUGACUGGGGUGAAGUCGUAACAAGGUAACCGUAGGGGAACCUGC